CUGGGCUGCCUGGGAGUUGAGAAGGAUACCUGAGGUGGGGCAGUGCUGGGGAAGGACAGAGGGAGCUCCAGCCAGGAAAAACCUCAGGCUGCAGGCCUUGCUAAAAAGGCCAAAUCGGUACCGAGGCUGUAGAGGGGCAGCCCAGAGAUAGGCAAAGGCAGCAGCUCCUAAACCCCUUGCUGAUGAUGAGUGGUUUACAGACUGCAGUUGGCCCCAAGGAGCAGGGGACAGAUGAUGACUGGCAGUAGCCACUGAGUCAAGGUGGGUAUAGAGGGUUGGGGGUUCCCCUGGGAGGGGAGACCCAGACAGAGGGGAUACUGUGGAUGGGCCGAACCUCUGGGCAAAGGGCACCAGGGUCUGGGAGGGACACAGGGCCAGUGGCAGGCAAGACACUGGCCUACAGAGGGUGCCCUGGGCUGGAAGUGCUAAUUCCUGAGAUGGCCAGCAGGAGGCGCCGUGCUGGGAUCACUAUUGUGUGGUGUGGCCUUGAUCCUUUCUUUAUAACCUCCAUUUGAGAGCUUUUCAUCUUAUCCUAAGACCAACUGCACCACACAGCACCAACAAACCGGAAUGAGGCUGCCCAUUCAGCUCUGCCCUGUCUGAGAAGGACCAGUGAAAGCGAGGGACCCGACCAGAUCAGUCGAGUGGCAUCCCACAGCAAGUAAUUAAGUCAGGAUCCAGAACAACUGUUAUCACCAAAUUUCCAGCUCACAGUAUCCAUCCAUGAUUGACCCAGGGACCUUGUAUCCUGAGAUCAUCAACAAAAGCCAUAUUUCCCCCCCACCAUUACUGUCCUAUCUCUUUUCCCUCUUGCAUCUCUCUGUUUUGUCAAAAGACAGAAAAAGUAAACACUGUUCUCAGUGAUCAGUUCAAAAUCCAACAGGGUUAAUCCUUUCUUCCCCACUCAGAAGGAUUGUGUGACAGAACGGGAGGUCUAACUGGUAUCCCCUCUCUCAAAA